rnacentral:rRNA from 1 species
ACUCCUACGGGAGGCAGCAGUGGGGAAUAUUGGACAAUGGGCGAAAGCCUGAUCCAGCCAUGCCGCGUGUGUGAAGAAGGUCUUCGGAUUGUAAAGCACUUUAAGUUGGGAGGAAGGGCAGUAAGCUAAUACCUUGCUGUUUUGACGUUACCGACAGAAUAGGCACCGGCUAACUCUGUGCCAGCAGCCGCGGUAAUA